rnacentral:rRNA from 1 species
GAUGAACGCUGGCGGCGUGCCUAAUACAUGCAAGUCGAGCGAACGGACGAGAAGCUUGCUUCUCUGAUGUUAGCGGCGGACGGGUGAGUAACACGUGGAUAACCUACCUAUCAGACUGGGAUAACUUCGGGAAACCGUAGCUAAUACCGGAUAAUAUUUUGAACCGCAUGGUUCAAAAGUGAAAGACGGUCUUGCUGUCACUUAUAGAUGGAUCCGCGCUGCAUUAGCUAGUUGGUAAGGUAACGGCUUACCAAGGCAACGAUGCAUAGCCGACCUGAGAGGGUGGUCGGCCACACUGGAACUGAGACACGGUCCAGACUCCUGCGGGAGGCAGCAGUAGGGAAUCUUCCGCAAUGGGCGAAAGCCUGACGGAGCAACGCCGCGUGAGUGAUGAAGGUCUUCGGAUCGUAAAACUCUGUUAUUAGGGAAGAACAUAUGUGUAAGUAACUGUGCACAUCUUGACGGUACCUAAUCAGAAAGCCACGGCUAACUACGUG